GGAGGAAUAUUGGUCAAUGGGACGCAAGUCUGAACCAGCCAAGUCGCGUGCAGGAAUAAGGCCCUAUGGGUCGCAGACUGCUUUUGCAUGAGAAUAAAAAGUGGGACGAGUCCCACCCUGUAGGUAUCAUGCGAAUAAGGAUCGGCUAACUCCGUGCCAGCAGCCGCGGUAAUACGGAGGAUCCGAGCGUUAUCCGGAUUCAUUGGGUUUAAAGGGAGCGUAGGCCGGAGAUUAAGCGUGUUGUGAAAUGUAGACGCUCAACGUCUGCACUGCAGCGCGAACUGGUUUCCUUGAGUACGCACAAAGUGGGCGGAAUUCGUGGUGUAGCGGUGAAAUGCUUAGAUAUCACGAAGAACUCCGAUUGCGAAGGCAGCUCACUGGAGCGCAACUGACGCUGAAGCUCGAAAGUGCGGGUAUCGAACAGGAUUAGAUACCCUGGUAGU
rnacentral:rRNA from 1 species